AUUGAACGCUGGCGGCAGGCCUAACACAUGCAAGUCGAGCGGAAACGAUGGUAGCUUGCUACCAGGCGUCGAGCGGCGGACGGGUGAGUAACGCGUGAGAAUCUGCCCAUUUGUGGGGGAUAACUCGGGGAAACUCGAGCUAAUACCGCAUAAUCCCUACGGGGGAAAGCAGGGGACCUUCGGGCCUUGUGCAGAUGGAUGAGCUCGCGUCGGAUUAGCUUGUUGGUGAGGUAAAGGCUCACCAAGGCGACGAUCCGUAGCUGGUCUGAGAGGAUGAUCAGCCACACCGGGACUGAGACACGGCCCGGACUCCUACGGGAGGCAGCAGUGGGGAAUCUUGGACAAUGGGGGCAACCCUGAUCCAGCCAUGCUGCGUGUGUGAAGAAGGCCUUCGGGUUGUAAAGCACUUUCAGUAGGGAGGAAGGCUUACCGCUAAUAACGGUGAGUACUUGACGUUACCUACAGAAGAAGCACCGCUAAUUU
rnacentral:rRNA from 1 species